CCUACGGGAGGCUGCAGUGAGGAAUAUUGGUCAAUGGACGAGAGUCUGAACCAGCCAAGUAGCGUGAAGGAUGACUGCCCUAUGGGUUGUAAACUUCUUUUAUAUGGGAAUAAAAUGUUCCACGUGUGGGAUUUUGUAUGUACCAUAUGAAUAAGGAUCGGCUAACUCCGUGCCAGCAGCCGCGGUAAUACGGAGGAUCCGAGCGUUAUCCGGAUUUAUUGGGUUUAAAGGGAGCGUAGGUGGAUUGUUAAGUCAGUUGUGAAAGUUUGCGGCUCAACCGUAAGAUUGCAGUUGAAACUGGCAGUCUUGAGUACAGUAGAGGUGGGCGGAAUUCGUGGUGUAGCGGUGAAAUGCUUAGAUAUCACGAAGAACUCCGAUUGCGAAGGCAGUUCACUGGACUGCAACUGACACUGAGGCUCGAAAGUGUGGGUAUCAAACAGGAUUAGAUACCCGAGUAGUC
rnacentral:rRNA from 1 species